rnacentral:rRNA from 1 species
GAUGAACGCUGGCGGCGUGCUUAAUACAUGCAAGUCGAGCGAACGGACGAGAAGCUUGCUUCUCUGAUGUUAGCGGCGGACGGGUGAGUAACACGUGGAUAACCUACCUAUAAGACUGGGAUAACUUCGGGAAACCGGAGCUAAUACCGGAUAAUAUUUUGAACCGCAUGGUUCAAAAGUGAAAGACGGUCUUGCUGUCACUUAUAGAUGGAUCCGCGCUGCAUUAGCUAGUUGGUAAGGUAACGGCUUACCAAGGCAACGAUGCAUAGCCGACCUGAGAGAGGGAUCGGCCACACUGGAACUGAGACACGGUCCAGGCUCCUACGGGAGGCAGCAGUAGGGAAUCUUCCGCAAUGGGCGAAAGCCUGACGGAGCAACGCCGCGUGAGUGAUGAAAGUCUUCGGAUCGUAAAACUCUGUUAUUAGGGAAGAACAUAUGUGUAAGUAACUGUGCACAUCUUGGCGGUACCUAAUCAGAAAGCCACGGCUAACUACGUG